rnacentral:rRNA from 1 species
UACGAAGGGGGCUAGCGUUGCUCGGAAUCACUGGGCGUAAAGCGCACGUAGGCGGAUCUUUAAGUCAGGGGUGAAAUCCCAAGGCUCAACCUUGGAACUGCCUUUGAUACUGGGGAUCUCGAGUCCGGAAGAGGUUGGUGGAACUGCGAGUGUAGAGGUGAAAUUCGUAGAUAUUCGCAAGAACACCAGUGGCGAAGGCGGCCAACUGGUCCGGUACUGGACGCUGAGG